rnacentral:rRNA from 1 species
AACCUACCUAUCAGAGGGGAACUAACCCGGCGAAAGUCGGACUAAUACCGCAUAAAACAGGGGCACCGCAUGGUGAUAUUUGUUAAAGAAAUUCGCUGAUAGAUGGGCAUGCGUUCCAUUAGGUAGUUGGUGAGGUAACGGCUCACCAAGCCGACGAUGGAUAGGGGAACUGAGAGGUUGGUCCCCCACACUGGUACUGAGACACGGACCAGACUCCUACGGGAGGCAGCAGUGAGGAAUAUUGGUCAAUGGGGCGGGAGCCUGAACCAGCCAAGUCCGCGUGAAGGAAGAAGGAUCUAUGGUUCGUAAACUUCUUUUGCAGGGGAAUAAAGUGCAGGACGUGUCCUGUUUUGUAUGUACCCUGAGAAUAAGGAUCGGCUAACUCCGUGCCAGCCGCCGC